UGGGAAGGCCCAGACAGCCAGGAUGUUGGCUUAGAAGCAGCCAUCAUUUAAAGAAAGCGUAAUAGCUCACUGGUCGAGUCGGCCUGCGCGGAAGAUGUAACGGGGCUAAACCAUGCACCGAAGCUGCGGCAGCGACACCGUGUGUUGUUGGGUAGGGGAGCGUUCUGUAAGCCUGUGAAGGUGUGCUGUGAGGCAUGCUGGAGGUAUCAGAAGUGCGAAUGCUGACAUAAGUAACGAUAAAGCGGGUGAAAAGCCCGCUCGCCGGAAGACCAAGGGUUCCUGUCCAACGUUAAUCGGGGCAGGGUGAGUCGACCCCUAAGGCGAGGCCGAAAGGCGUAGUCGAUGGGAAACGGGUUAAUAUUCCCGUACUUGGUGUUACUGCGAAGGGGGGACGGAGAAGGCUAUGUUGGCCGGGCGACGGUUGUCCCGGUUUAAGCGUGUAGGUAUGUGUUCCAGGUAAAUCCGGUUCACUUUAACACUGAGGCGUGACGACGAGGCACUACGGUGCUGAAGCAACAAAUGCCCUGCUUCCAGGAAAAGCCUCUAAGCAUCAGGUAACAUCAAAUCGUACCCCAAACCGACACAGGUGGUCAGGUAGAGAAUACCAAGGCGCUUGAGAGAACUCGGGUGAAGGAACUAGGCAAAAUGGUGCCGUAACUUCGGGAGAAGGCACGCUGACACGUAGGUGAAGUGAUUUACUCACGGAGCUGAAGUCAGCCGAAGAUACCAGCUGGCUGCAACUGUUUAUUAAAAACACAGCACUGUGCAAACACGAAAGUGGACGUAUACGGUGUGACGCCUGCCCGGUGCCGGAAGGUUAAUUGAUGGGGUCAGCGCAAGCGAAGCUCCUGAUCGAAGCCCCGGUAAACGGCGGCCGUAACUAUAACGGUCCUAAGGUAGCGAAAUUCCUUGUCGGGUAAGUUCCGACCUGCACGAAUGGCGUAAUGAUGGCCAGGCUGUCUCCACCCGAGACUCAGUGAAAUUGAACUCGCUGUGAAGAUGCAGUGUACCCGCGGCAAGACGGAAAGACCCCGUGAACCUUUACUAUAGCUUGACACUGAACAUUGAGCCUUGAUGUGUAGGAUAGGUGGGAGGCUUUGAAGUG
rnacentral:rRNA from 4 species